rnacentral:lncRNA from 1 species
CCAACCUUUUCCUUUUUCUUCCUCACUCCUCUCCAAUUUUUACCACUUUUACUAUAAAUAUAAAUAACAUUGUUUUGUUUGAGUCAAUUAACUGGUAAAGUCUACAUGAAAUGUUGGUUUUUUCUUUAUUUGUUAUGUAGGUUAUAGGAAGAAGGAAGGAUAUAUAUAUAUGGGUGGGAUGCAACAGAAAUGUAAUCCUGUUGAAUGUGGUUUGUCUUUACUUUUCUUCUUUUUUGCACAUGUCCACCAAAGGUGAAUUAAGGUGGAGGUGCAUGCAUGUUAAGAGAAUUACAAAACAUACACCUAAUAAUUAAUAAUGUUCAAUCAGAUGAUGGGAUUGACAGCAAUCUCGGAUGAAUUGUUGAGCGUGAGAGAGAAAGAAGAGCAGCAUAGGAUUCGUAGGACAAUGUUUGAUAACAAUCCACAGGGAGAUUGAUUUCAUCAUCACAAACAAACAACAACAUAUGUAUCAAAACAUCCAAGUGUCCUCCCACAAAUUAACUACUCCAGGGGGGCACAACACAUCUGUCAACUUUCUUUCUUAUACUCUUAUAUUAUUAUUGCCAUUCUUCUCUUUUUUAUCACCUCUAAUCACUCCUAUUACCAUUCUCAUUUCAGAUCAUUCUCCAGUCAAAGUGCUGCUGCAUAUAUAUGUUUUUGUUGUUCAACCCUCAUGCAAAUAAUUGUAUGCUAGUAACAUGAAUAGUCAUUUUCACAUGACAUCAAUUUAGAUAUUUAACUUUGUUGGCACUUUUC